AGAAAGAGAGAAGGAGGAAGACAAUGCACUCUGCAAUUAGUAGCUUCAAUGAGAGAAAAGCAACGCACAACAGUUCAGCCUUCUCAGUUCUUCCCCCUGCCAACUACAGAUGGGCAGAGCAACCCUGGAAUGUGAAAUCAUGUAAAAUGUUGACAGCAAGACAACAAAUACGGUCAUUUUCGAAAGGAAAGGAAGAGGCUGAAUUCCCUUUCAGGAUUUACAUGCAAACAAAUUAUGGCCCAUGCAUCAACUGCCCAAAUACGGAAAACCUCAACGAACUUGGACAUUAACAUUGUGGCAUAGAAAUAUGUCGAAAACAGCAACUCUGGGCAAG